rnacentral:rRNA from 1 species
AUGCUUCUACUGACAAACAGACUACAAAAUGCUUACAUUGAUAGCUACAGUUAUUGUUGCUCUUUUCUUGCAUAUAAGGAAAAAAGCAUUAUGACAGUAGCAUGGCUUGGCCCGGCAGUCAUCAUGCUAGCCUGCUUGGUGUUGUCCCUAAUCUCCACACUGCCUGAAAUGCCAUCUCAUUUUGCCACCAGCCUGGAAGCAACAACAAAACGCGUGUGGAGUGCACUUGCUGUGCGCAUGUACUGUCAACGAGUCGGCUAUCCUUACUGUACUCUGCAGAUGGGUAUUCCUUCCACAUGUUCAUGGAAAUUUCCAGUGACAUUAGUCACCAGGAUUAUGGCCCCUGGCCCUCUACAGUAG